rnacentral:lncRNA from 1 species
GAAUUCUGUUGGGGGCUUCAGUGCCAUGCAGGCAUUGUGAACCACUAUGGAGCCUGGCUUUCAGCUGAUCCUGGGGAAGUCACAAAAAGUGGUAGCAGAGCUGCUUCCAGAUGACAUGAGGCUAGGCAUUGACUACAGUAGUCUCCAGUGGAAGUCAGUGCAGCUUUUAACAAUCCCAGUUCCUAGGCUACACCCUGGAACAUUUAAAUCAGAACCUCAAGAUAUGAGACUAGGCACCCGUAUUGUGAAGCUCUCCAGGUGAUGGUCAUGUGUGGUGAGAUUGAGCAAUUGCAACAAAAGCCAAAAUUGACAAAUGGGAUGUAAUUAAACUAAAGAGCUUCUGCUGAAUGUUAU